UUUGGUUAAAAGCAUUUCAAUAAUUUUGUAAAACAGUACUGCCUGCACAGAAAACCUCCAAAAGCUAAAUGUGAUGCUUUACCGUACAAAAUAGUUACAAGUUUGCUGGCCAGUUGCCACGUUACAUAUCCAUCUUUCGGAGCUCCACCACUAGUGGGUGCAUGCUCCCACUUUGUUUUACUUUUGGAAAGUGACUUUAAUUAGGAAGCACUUCCGCAUCCUAAGGAGAGUAAGUAAUCCACGUAUAUAGAAGUGAUAUUUAAUUAAUUACCUAUUUGUUUUUCUUCAGAAACCUCAACCACGGCAAUGGCAACAACAGCAACAUCAAAUACUGAAACAACGACGGUGAAAUUGAAGUUAAUGAUUGAUAAACGAGCUAACAAGGUCUUGUUUGCCGAAGCUGAGAAAGAUUUUGUGGAUAUCCUGUUCAAUGUCCUUUAUAUGCCACUUGGUAGUGUCGCCAGGCUCGUCACGGAUGCUGGUUUGGGUGGCUGCACAGGAAGCCAGCUGUACCGAAGUCUUGAAAACCUGCCUGAGUAAAUUUAUAAAUUAUAAUUAAUUUUUUUUUUCAAAAAGCUUACUCGGGCUGCAGCCCGCAUUAGCCUACCUCUGCAUACCAUGACUAGUGAGAUAAAUUAAAAUAAACACGAUUUUGAUAUUCAGUGAAUGAAUUAAAACUGAGUUCCGUUAAAACAAGGUGACUUGCAAAAGAAGCUCUCUUUGUUUUUUUAGAAAUAAUCUGUUUCAUGACUUCUUGGGGUUCUUUUUCGAUAAGCAAGCUGACGCAGAACAAAAGCAACAAAAGCAACAAAAGCAAGAGCCACCAAAAUCAAUCAAAGUAAAAGACAGCAAUGGAUCGACAAAAGCAAGAAAAAGGAAGCAAUGGUAACGAAUAAAAUAAAGUGAAACAAAGAAGAAAAGCAAGACAAAUCACCGGCAGGCAGCACAAUAGGUAAGUCACAAAAGUAAUAAUAAAAAGAAUGCCAUAACAGUCGCGUUCUUAUUAGCUUUCUUACGUUGCUAAGGUAAAGAUUUGCACAUCACGCUUUGGUUAAAAGCAUUUCAAUAAUUUUGUAAAACAGUACUGCCUGCACAGAAAACCUCCAAAAGCUAAAUGUGAUGCUUUACCGUACAAAAUAGUUACAAGUUUGCUGGCCAGUUGCCACGUUACAUAUCCAUCUUUCGGAGCUCCACCACUAGUGGGUGCAUGCUCCCACUUUGUUUUACUUUUGGAAAGUGACUUUAAUUAGGAAGCACUUCCGCAUCCUAAGGAGAGUAAGUAAUCCACGUAUAUAGAAGUGAUAUUUAAUUAAUUACCUAUUUGUUUUUCUUCAGAAACCUCAACCACGGCAAUGGCAACAACAGCAACAUCAAAUACUGAAACAACGACGGUGAAAUUGAAGUUAAUGAUUGAUAAACGAGCUAACAAGGUCUUGUUUGCCGAAGCUGAGAAAGAUUUUGUGGAUAUCCUGUUCAAUGUCCUUUAUAUGCCACUUGGUAGUGUCGCCAGGCUCGUCACGGAUGCUGGUUUGGGUGGCUGCACAGGAAGCCAGCUGUACCGAAGUCUUGAAAACCUGCCUGAAGAUUACCUAAUACACCAUCAAACCAAAGUUGAGCUCUUGAAACCCCUUUUAAAAUGGGGGAAAGCAUCUCUGCUCUUGCAGCCCCAAGCUUGUCCGCGACCUGUACCUGUGGAGAGAAAGUUGUACAACUGUGGAAACAAUCACCGCUGUGUGACAAAUGAAGUAAAUACCAGGUGUCCCCAAUGUUCUUCGAGUCAGUGUUAUGAAGUGCAGCAGUCGAUUGUUUCGGAUAUUGAGGGCGGAGUUGUGAAGAAAUCUUUUGCUUGCAUAAUAACUAAUGAUUUAUCAAUAACACCAGCGUCAAUGAUAUCUGCCACUGGCCUGCUGCAGGGCAAAAUUGAGGAUAUUGGUGCCCUGGAGGAGAGAGUUGUCGAUGUUGGCCCUGAUGAGGUAAGGAAUUCUUCUCUGGCAUCUCUUACGCGAUUGAAUUUUGACUUCAUUACCUCAAAUUUUCAAUUUGAAAGCAUAAGCUACGUACUAACGUAUAUAUUUUGGGCUAAAUUGAGCAUGGUUUUUGUACAUCUCAGGUUGUGGAGCUGUUGAAUGCUUCAAUGCAAACAAAUGAAGCUCUCACUAGCGUCUUCCUUCCUCAAAAAGAAUAAGUUUUUGGGUUGAAAAUGAUAUGACUCAUAAAAGAGCUGUGGUGUCAUGAUAGGUACAAGUUGUCAUUAUAUAUCCGUUUGGUUUAUAUAUAAUAAUAAACCCGGUAUUUAUUUCUUGUUUGUGCAUUGUUCUUGACGAUACAAAAGAAUGUGAUGAAUUAAUGAUGUUAAUAUAUUAUGCUUAGACUUUGUUGUUGUUUUUUUUUUUUUUUUCAAUUUCUAAGAAGAUGACGGGACAAUUGAGCGUAACGCGAUCAUUUUCCAGUUCUUAACUCAUACUUUAAUCAAUGAACAUGUGGAUUUCCAUUUUUUCCUCCUUUCCAUUAUGUUGCAAUUCGUGUUAUCAAGAGAUCAAUCAACGCCAAAUUGUAGCCCAAGAUCUUUAGAUCAAACCAAACAAGUUGCUCACGAAAUUUGAUCAGGAUUAAGUCUAAUCAACCGGAUGGACAGAUGAAAAUCUAAAUUGAGUAGAGAAAGAAACAAGAACAAAAACGAAUUAACGUGGUUCAGCUGAUUUGCAUCAGCCUACAUCCAUGGAGAAACAACAUGAUCAGCUUUUAUUGAUUAUCAAGAAGAACUACAGAGCUUUACAGAGCACAUUACAUAGAUCAAGAAGUCUCUCGAAAUGAUCCCAACUUCUCUCUAUAUAGCUCACAGCCCUCUCCUGUUUUUUACAUUAGAACCAGCUGUUUUAACAGCUCUGCAACUGAUUUCACGAAGCCCCGAAAGAAGCUCACGCGAUAUGCACGUGAAAUAACAGCCUUUAACGACUCGGCUUGAGCACGUGUAAGGCUUGUGACUUAUUGAAGUCGAAACGGCAUUUCGAGAAGUCGUUUAAAAGAGCAACAAUAAAACCCAUCGAAACGCUGCUUUCCACGUCGUUUCACUUAUACAAAGCCAUCCCCAAAACGCAAUAAUCCCAUGUCGUAUUGGUCAAUUCUGAUUUGCUUCACCAGACACUGGGCACAUUUUUCUUAAAUAUCGUAAAUAACUAGAACGCCCAGAGGGAAGCCAACAAUAUUGGCAAUCGGCAAAAAUCUUCCUUAUCCAUGGUGAUUACUGAUUAGGCUUUAAAAACAUUCUAAUAAUUAUCAUUAGACAGACCAAAUUGUUAACAGUGUUCCAUAUCAUGGAGCAAUUAUAAUUUGUAAAUAGCACUCUCUACAACUUCGAAAAUGAACCACCGAUGGUUAAGUUAUAAGUUAUUGGAGCUAAUGGAGUCAGUACUGGGGAAAUUAUGCAUGGCUUCUUUUCUAAGUUACAGUUUUAGGAAAGCAAGAACCCUUUUUAGUAUCUGAUUUUGUUUUAUUUGUUUCUCUAUAACAUCAAAUUAAUAUGAUGAUGGAAACAGGACUUUGAUAUUCAGCGAUGAUCAUGAAUGGCAUUAAAAUUGUAAAACAAGGAGAAUUCUAAAAGGUUUUGACAAAGAAAUUCAUAGCUAGAAUAAUUACUUUUUGACCAUUUAAUGAUAUAUGAUCCACUAUUUCUCAAAUAUAAAAGGCGAAAUGUGGUGUAAAUGAAAGUAUAUGGCAAGGAAGAAGGUUGUUGGGAAUUCAAAAAUCCCAUCAAAAGAUUGUAGAUUCAUAUAUAAGUUAGAUUCAUACAGAGUUCUGACAUAUAGAGUAUAUGUAUAUAUACACAUAUAUAUACACGUAAGUUUUAUAUAGUUCUCUUUGCAAGCGUCCAUGCAUGAUUAGUAUCAUUUAGGAUGAAUUAGUAUAAAGAAGAAUAAUAAUUUACUUUGGGUUAUUAUUAUUAAGUUAUAAUUAAUACAAACUUUACUUUGAUCUUCAAGUGGAUGUGUGUUGCUUAAACAACCAACAUACAGAACCGAAGUUCUGAUCUUACACACAAAUACAGCCACACAAAUACAGUUUACACACAAAUGGUCGAUGGACCAUGGCUAUAAAUAGCCAAACUCACUUUGUUAAUCUGGCAUCCUUUUUCUUUGAAGAAGAAACAAUAAUACUUAAAAAGCAUCUUCUCUCAAAUUCAUUUUUAAAGCUUUAACUUUCUGUUCAGUUUUAUAAGCCUACCUAUAUUUAGUUCCCAUACUUUCUCCAUUUGCAAUUAUUAGACUACUUCCCCCAUAGAUCCAUUAUAUUUCUUUCUUUUCUUUCCUUUGUUUUUUUUUUUUCCUUUUUAAUAUCUUGUCAUGCAUAAUAUAUUUGAGGAGUUUUAACACUCAUAUCAACCUAGCUCCCUGAAACAUAAAGCACAGAAAAAGUUAAUAUUAAUAAUUGAGAACUUUACUUUUAUAAAUUUGUAAAAAUUAAUAAAUGAGAACUUAUCUUUUCAGCGAAAUCGACAAAAGUAAAUGACCAAGAACAAAAGCAACAAAAUAAGCAAUUGGCAGAAGCGAAACGAAGAAAGCAAUUGUAACAAACAAAGUGAAAUAAAUAGGAAAAGCAAGACAAAUCACUGGAAGCCAGCACAAAAGAAAAGUCACAAAAGUCAUCAAAAGCAUGCUAUGAGAGUCAAGUUAUUAUUACCUUUCUUUACUUUUGGAAAGUGCCCUUGGCAAGGACUUUUGCAUCCUAAAGGGAGUAAGUAAACCACGUAAGUGAAUUUUAUCUACCAAGUAGUUGCUGUGUUACAGGUUCUCUAGAGACUUGUUUCUUUUCUUCGGCAGCAUCAACCAUGGAAACGGUAACAGCAACAUCAAACAAUGAAACGAAGAAGGUGAAAUUGAAGUUAAUAAUUGACAAACCAGCUAACAAGGUCCAGUUCGCCGAAGCCGAAAAAGAUUUUGUGGAUAUCCUAUUCAAUCUCCUUUAUAUGCCAUUUGGUAGUGUCAUCAGGCUCCUCAGGGAUGCUGGUAUGGUUGGCUGCACGGGAAACCUUUACCAGAGUCUUGAAAACCUGAGUGAAGCUCUCCUGAUACCCAAUCAGACAAACGUUGAACUCUUAAAGCCCCUUCUAAAAUGGGAAAAAGAAUCAUUGCUCUUGCUGCAAGCUUGUCCGCAACCCGUGGAGAGAAAGUUAUACGGUUGUCCAUACUAUCAUAGUUAUGUGACCAACCAAAUGGACACCCGGUGUCCCCAAUGUUCCAAUUAUCUGAAUAAUGCAUUGCCACAAGUGAACAUGGUUCCGGGUAGUGAGGGCGGGAUUGUAAAGAAAUCAGUCGCUUUCACUGUAACAGAUGAUUUAUCAGUGACACCAGGGUCAAUGAUAUCAGGCAUUGGCCUACUACAAGGCAAACUUAAGGAUGCUAUUGGCGCCCUUGAGGAGAGAGUUGUCGAUAUUGGCCCUGAUGAGGUAAGGAGUGCUUCUCGAGUUAGCAUUUUUAUCUUGUUCGAAUUUUGAUUCCAAUAACAUAAAAUUUUAAUUUGAAAGCAUAAUUGAGCUACCAUGUUGCUCCUCUCACCCUACCAAUGAUAUAGGCUUUGGGCUAAAUCAUAUGGUUUUUGUAACUCUCAGGUUUUGGAGUUGUUCAAUGCUUCAUUUCAGACAAAUGAAGCUCUCUCUACCGUCUUCCUUCCUCAUGAAGAAAGAGUACAUGGGAUGAAGAUUAUAUGACUCACAAAAAUAAAAUACGCUGUGAGCACCUUGUUACGAAAUUAAGCUAUAAGUCGAGGUUUACAUAUCCGUUUGGUUUGUUUAUUACAAACCCAGUAUAUGUUCUUGUUUCUGCGUUUUUCUUGAUGUUACAAAACUAUGUGAUGAAUUGAUGAUGUUAACGUAUUAUGAAUCCACCGAUAGAGUUAAGCAUCAUUGGAACUACUGGAGGCCGUACUAGUAUUGGGGAGAUUAUAUGGUUCCUUUUCUAAGUUUCAGUUUUAGGAAAGCAUGAAACCCUUUUAGUUUUUGUGUUAUUAAUUUAUUUUUUCUUAACAUCAAAUUAAUCUGAUGAUGAAAACAGCAUUUUCAAAUUCAGUUUUGAUCAUUUUAAUCACUAUCUUAUUGAGUUUAUGUAUUUAGGUAUAUUAUUUCCAUUUUAAUUGUAAUUUAAACUUUUAUGUCUGAGUUAAUUUAAGGAAAUAUAGAGAAUUUUGUCAUUAUUUUUGCACACAAAGACAAAAGAAAGCAAAUUCUGUGGGGGGNNNNNNNNNNNNNGGGGGGGGGGGGGGGGAUGCAAAACAAACCAGAAAAGAAAGAAGUAUAUAUCGCCGGAAGUCAGCACAAAAGGAAAGUCACACAAGUCAUCAAACGCAAGCUAUAACAUUCAAGUUAUUACUGGCAUUCGUUUAAGGUAAAGAUUUGCAUAUCACAUUGGUUCAAAGCAUUUCGAUCUUGUUAAAGCAAAUAAAACCACCCAAAAGCUAAAUGGGAUGCUUCACUUUACAAUUGAUGCUCUCGGAUUCGGAAGCAAACUCGGCACACGGAGCAGCCUAUUUAUAGUCUAAGCUUGAGAUCGAAAUUGUGCUCUGCUUUUGAUCAUCAUCUUCAUUAGCAAAAUAAUAAUAAUUUUCGCUGCCAACUUUGUUUUACUUUUGCAAAGUGACUUAUUAACAAGCGCUUUCGCAUCCUAAAGAGAGUAACUAAUCCACAUAAGUGAUAUUUAAUUGCCGAGUAGUUACAAUCUUAGAAGUUCGCAAAAGAAUUAUUUCUUUUUCUUGAGAAACAUCGGCCAUGGCAACAGAAAAACCCUGUGGCUGAUAAAUUUUUGCUACUAGAUAAUCGAAAUAUUUCUCACACUCAAUGUGGCUGAUCUGUUUGACUAUCACCUAGAUGAUGAGGCGUUGUACAAGCCAAACUCGAAGACGAGUUUUUUUCUAAGUGAGGAGGACUGAUGUAGGAUGGUUGCGUGUUACAAACGAGAUAUCUUUCAGAGGGCUUCAGCUACAUGUGUCUGUUUUUUGCACAUAAUAUAAUGUUUCAAAUCUUGCAUGAGAUGAACCAAACCUAGAACUCUUGCACCAUUCUUCCCAAUGAUCAAGCCGGAAAUUCUACUUCAUUAUUGGUUAUUUUCCAAUUAUAAGAUAUUUUCCUAAUUUUCUUACUGAAGGUGCCUAGUAAUGAUAGACACUUGUGAAGAUGACCCUACAUCUUGAAAGGUGGGUUUGUCUCUCAAUCUCCUACUAAUCUUGGUAAGAGAAUGCUUAUUAAUCUACUUCUCAUCAUUAUGCCUAGAAAAUGGGACUAUAAAAGAAUUGUAUUAUUACAUGACAUUAUCGUUUUAUUAAAAGUAGUGAUAUGAAGCAAAAUCACUAGAGAAUAUAUAUGCUUAUCAUAGUGCAUCAAACGAGUGCGCUCAAUUUAGCAAGAGCACACCUAAAAUAACAAAGCAUGCACCUAAGGUAAGGGUGGAAAAGAAGUCUAAUAUCAUAUGUGAAAAAUUUUGAAUGCAUGGUGACAGCUUUUGGAGGAGGAUGGUUAGGUUUUUCAUUUUCUCUAACCCUGUCAAGAGAGAUGGAAUUGGGUUUACUAUAAAAGAUCCAAAAGAUUCAAGUGACAUCUCAUGUAUGUGAUUGCUGAUAACUCUAUGAAAUGAGAGUUAUCAUGACACUUUUAGAUUUAAAUCAAGAUUACUUAGAGAGUAAAUGAUAUGUUUUCAUUGCAUUUUUUUGUUAUAUUUUGCAUAAACAUUCAUAUUAGUUUAUUCUUAAUAAAUUUUGUUUGAUUUAGAAUAAUUUGUGCUUAAAUCAUAUGCAUAAUUGUAGGUGACCGGAAGCUCAAAUUUCAAAAAAGGAAUGCUACUGUAAUAGGCUUGCAAAAGAUGAAAAGAACUUGGCUAUAGAAGAAUUGAAACAAAUCUGGAACAGUGCAGUUGCUGUAGCAAUCGUUGUUGUAGCAAUAUUGUCAUUGCUGUAGCAAUCCUAGAACAACGACAGAGAGAAUUUUACAGAAUAUUACGAUCUGCAGUUUCCUAAUCGGGAAGAUACGCGACCUAAGCUUCCGUUUACCCUAAUUUUCAACUAUAAAAUGAGCACACAUAAUAAGAAAAGAGGAGGGCGUCAAUCAUGACUGAAAGAAGAACAUGAAAGAAACAAAGAAGAAGAUUGAAGAGAAGGACACAAGUCUGCACCAAGAACAAAAUCUGUAGAAUAUUUGGGAUUCAACUUUUCUCAUUCGAUUCUUGUUCUUCUUCUUUAUUCUUUGGUUGAAAAUAUGUAUCUGAUGGCUGGAACUUCAUCGUUUGUUUUUCUUUUACAAGUUAUGAGCUGAAUUUAAUUGUAGUUAAGUGACAAAUUAUAUAUAUGGGUUUUUGACUGUUCACAUGAGUUGCUACACAUCUACUGUAGCAUUUUACUCUAAUAAAUAAUAUUACACUCAUUAUUUCGGUUGACCUCUCACUUAAUGACACAAGUUAAGAGAAAGCCACUACAUGACCUGUCUGAGUGGAACAUAUUAUAGUAAUAUUUGGUCUUAAAUUGAGUUUCCUGGAUCGAGUCUCAACUUGAAUCCUAAAAGGGUUGUGCUUGAUUUAAGAUUUGUAAUGAACUAGAUAUAGGGAUUAACCUUGUAGGGUAAAGAGAAUCUAAGUUUGUAAUGUCAUAUUUUAUGUUGACAUAACAACUGGUCACUGUUAGGUUGCAUAAAUAUAUGAGAUAUCCAACAUGCGACGGCUAAGGAUGCAUGAGAAUUCAGCCCAGUGCUGUAGCAUAUGCUGUAGCAACUGAACUUAAUAGGCACUAAACAGUCAAUCCCAUUAAGAGAAUUUGCUCACUCAACUACCACUUGUUCAUUGAUUCAACCUUGUGUUUAACGUGAAUUUUAGUUUUAUUAUCUCUACAUUUUAUGUUGGCAUUAUUACUAUUUUUAGUCAAUUGAUUUUUUUUUUUAGUUAGAAAAGAGAUUACAUUGUUGAGAUUGCUGUAGCAGCUCUAGUAGCAUCAAUCUGUGGAGAUGAUCUUGGUUACUCAUCACUUUAUUACUUGUUGUGUACACUUACACAUUGACACCAAUAACACUUGAGCUAAAAAAUCUACAACAAUUACCUACUUCAUCAAUACUCUAGUCAAGGUCGGUAGAAGUAGAAGAAGGGAAAAAAUAGGUAGGGCUAAAAUUUACAACAAGGGGUGAUUGGUUAUUUACGAGCUUAUAGUCAUUGUCUUCAACAGGGUAUUCACAAAAGACAGGGUUAUAGGAAUCCUCAGAGUCUGAAGACAUUGCUUAUGUGUUAACUAAAGAUGUCAAGCGAAGAAUUAAGAAAUAAUCAAUACACACCAAGGAUUUGAGUGAUCUAAACUUAAAAAAAAAAAAUAGAUGACUUUUGCAUGGGAGAAAAACCUUCAAUAUUGGUGAGUAUAUAUAUGGGAAUCUAGUUAGCUCUUUUCAACUUUAAAAGUAAGUUUCGGGAAACUAUUAUCAGGAGAAAACAAGACAGUGUACGCAUAAAAAAAAAAAGAAGAGAGAGAGAGAGAGAGAGAGAGACCAGUGCUCACCAAGAACUCAAGUGAUCUACACUUAGAAAAGAAAAAAAGAGACGACUCCUUCAAUAGUGGUCAGUAUAUAUAUUUGUAAAUACAUAUAGACACACACACACACACACACACACACACACACACACACACACACACAUGUAUAUUUUCUUUAAAAGUCAAGUUUCGAAGAGUAGGGGACAAUUGUUGUCAGAAGAAAACAAGACAACAUGCACAUAAGGCAUAUAAGAAGUAUGUUGGAGAAAAUAAGAAAGCAUGCAUGCAAGAAGCAUAAUAUAAGUAAGAUGUCAUAGAACCAAAGUAAUUUGAGCAAGAAAAGAGCUACAUGACAUAUGCAAGAUGUCAUGGAGCCAAAAUAAUUUGAGCAAGAAAGAAGCUACAUGACAUAAACCAGAUGUUAUGGAACCAAAAUAAUUAAAACAAGAGAGCAAGCAUGCUUCUGCAUGCAAAAAAGCGUGAUCAAAAUGUAAAACCUGAAAUUUGUUCCAUUUUUUCAUAUACAUAUCUUAUAGAAUAGAGUAUUUUAUACUUAUAAUAUGUAAGUGAAUGAUUAAAAUUUCAUUUUGAUUUCUUUUCUUUUACAUGUAUUUUAUAUAAUAUAUUAUUUUAUGUUAGUACUUAUAUUGAAUGAUUAAAGUUUAGUUAAUUAGAUAAAGUGGUGGGGUGGAGUAAUUAUAUUGAAUGAUUAAGUUUGGUUGUAUUUUAAUUUCAUGUAUUUUUUUUUUUUGUGUGGCUCUUAUGUGCCUUGAUAUUGUAUAAAUACCCCCCCUCAUUUGUAUUUAAAAAUUUUCCAAGAAGUGUUUGAGCAAAGGCUUUAAGUUUCAAAGGUAUAGUCUUGAGUGAAUUUCUUCUUAGAGAAGUAAGUAUUUAUAAUCUUUAAAUUUCUAUUUUUAUGUAUGAUUCUAUGUAAUUAAUUGAAUGAUCUUGUGUGGUAUAUUGAUAAAAUUGUGAAAGCAUGAUCAUGGAUUGAUUUAUGUUGUUAUUAAGUGAAAAUAAUGUUAUCAUGUAUAUGUAUUAUCCUAAAAUUGUGGACAAUUAAUAUAGAUUAAAUGCUUUAUAACUGCUAUUUUCAUUGAUUUUAUGUUAGUUUUUUAACUAGAUAUCUUUAUCUUUCUAUCCAUAUAAUUAUUGUUCAAAAACUCAUUGUAUGUUAAUUGUUUUGAUUUUUUUGAACUUGGAGCACUAGUAUUGGAAAAUUCUGACUUCCAGUAAUAGUUCCCACUUCUAUAACUUAUUUCAUAAAUCAUAAUUCAAAUGAACUUUAAACAUUAUGUGAUUUGUAUUUUGAUAGGCAUAUAUGUCUAGUUUCAGUAUGUUAAAACUUGUAAUUCUUAACCUUAUAUUAAAAUCAUUAAAAUUCAUAGAGUUGGAUUGACAUAAUCCUAGAAACUAUCCCCAAAAUUGUGAAGGUUGAUAUUGAAGUUAGUUUAGGUUACUUUCUCAUCACUAAAUACCUUAUAAAUUUUAUUUCUAAUUCCACUAUUUCCUCUAAUCCUCAAAGUUUGAAUUGCUAUUUUGAUACAUGUAUAAUUGAAGUUAUAAAUUUUUGAAUCAGCAUACCUUUGUUUAUAUCGCCAUUAGACAGUUUUGAUGUUUUUGUGGAAAAAUAAAUUUUUAGGGGUCAUUUUAUACUCGAAUUAAUUUUGUGAAAUUUUAUAUUGGAUGCCAAUAUGUUUAUAAUAGUUUUUUUUGCUAAUAUUUAUGAUUUUUCUAACAUACUUAUAGCUAAUUAGAAAUUGAUGCACAAAUUAGCAACUGUACCAGUUCGUACAAGUAAUAUAAUGAAAAGUAGAGUAUCGUCUCACAGAGAUUGUAUAUCCUAUUAGCUAUCGAAAUUAUUCUAACCCUAAUUUAUUUGAACAAUCGAAUAAGCGGAUUUAGAUUAAAAAAUAAAAUAAAAUAAAUAUGCAAGCAGUAAUAGAAAUCACUAAGAGAUUAAGACAUUAGGACAUUUGAUUUCACCAUAACCAAUCCAAUUUAAUCCUCCAUCUAUGCUAUUAAAGUUUAUUACCCAUGUUGAUAGUGAAUUUUCCUAAUCUAUUCAAUAUAAUCUCUCGAGUAAUAUUAAAAAUACCUUCACAUAUCAACCUAUUAUAUCGCUAUGUGAAUUUAAAUAUGCAAAGAUUCAUUAAACUCUAUGGAAAUUCUUAGAAAAACUGCAUGAAUCACGUUGGCACAUCUCUAUCUUUCGUUCAAUUCAUUGCAUCCAUUACAUAGAGCAAAAAUACUUAAAUCUCCUCUCGGUCUCAUUAUGUAUCCUUAAAUCAUUUAAAUAUUAGCUGGAUAUUUAAAAGUAUUAAACACAAUAAUGAACACUCAACCAUGUAAUAAUAAACUAAAAAUAAAAUAGAUUUAUGAAAUUAAAUUUUCAUAGUUAGGCUACAUCGUAGCCCUAGCAAAAUAAAUUAGUUAAUGAGAAUAUAAAGAGAAUCCAUGAAUUUAAUUGGGAACAUUCAAAAAAGACAAUUGAGAAAAGAGAAAGAAAAACUCAAGAAUUAAUGCGUCUUCCUCCUCCAAAUUAUUCUUGCUACUCUCGACUUUUGCUUAAAAGUGCGGCUGCUGCUUCCUUUCUUCUUUCUUCGGCUUGUGGUUCUUGUGGCUGCUCCCACCUCUCGGUUUUUUUCUCUUCCUUUUAUAUUGCUCAGCCCCUGAAUCCUUAAAUCAAAAGGAUUUUAAAACAAAACAAAUCUAGCCCACCUUUUAAGCCCAUGCACGUGAAUCAUUUAAAUUGUCAAUUAAUUCUUUAAUGCUCCCCACAUGCAUGCAUGCUUAAUGGUUAAUUAAAUCUUCCUUGAUUUAUUUAUUUUUAUUUAUUUUCCUUUUUUCUUCCACCACUAGUGAUUGUUUUCAUUAUACUCCAAUUUGUUUCUUCUUUUCGCUUCGUUUCACUUAAAUAUUCCCAAUAUUCAUACAAUGAUAAAAUACAAAAAGUAAGAUAAAAAUUAAUAUAUAAUAUAAUUUAACAUAAAAUUAAGUUAUAGAAGUAUUAAAAUAAUAUAAAAAUUAUUACCACACUAGAAAUCAACUCCUAUAAGAUGGUCGAAUGUAGUUUGGUAAAUUGAUAUACUUGAGUUGGAGUUAAUGAUUUAAGGAUGUUGUGUAUCCUAUUAAAGCCAGAAUUGUAUAUGAUAUUAAUAAGAAUCUCAUCUUGAUAAUUAUAGGCCAAGAAUGAACUCGUGUGUUUGGGUUAUUGUUAGUUGCUUCGGAUCGAAAUAAGUUAAUUCAUGUAUAGUAUUUGUUAUAUAUAUGUAAUUAUGUAUGACAAGAAUAUUGUUGUUCAUAUAUUUUAGCAAUUUGUUGUUUAAAGUAUUUUAUUAUCAUUGUUUAUAAUAAUGAGUUACAUUUUGGUUUAAAGUUUAUUUAAAUUUUUUUAGAUUUGUUUUUAAAAUGUCUUUAAAAUACUUGUGUUCUAUAAAUUGUUUUCCUUAAAAAUAAUUUGCAAAGUUUUGCCAAUUAAAUCUCUUAUAACAGUUUUUAUUGAUCUAUUAUUGAAUGAUUGAUAUUGAAUGAUUGAUAUUGAAAGAUUGAAAAUUAUUUUAAGGUUUUGGUUUAUUGUCUAUAGUUACCGUUACUGAUAUGAUUGAACAACUAACCGCAUUGCGUGCACUUAUUGACGAUUAUUGCAGGGUAAAGUACCCCAAUUGAACUACUGGGCAAGUCACUGGGAUUACAGAUGACAUACUAAACUACUAGCCGGGUCACCAAGAAUACAUGUGACACCAUGAGGCAUGAGCAAACUGAACAAAUGGAAUUUUAUUGAUAAAUGAUUUCUUAAAUGAUUUAUUUAUUAAAAAUGAUUAUCAUGUUAUGGCUUAAUUGAUUAUAAUUUUUAUUUUACAUAUGUAUUAGAUUAUAAAAUGAUUACUAAUUUCUCAUUUAUGACACUUCAUAAUAAUUAUUAUGCAUUUUAUCGUAUUAGUAACCUUACAUAUGAGUUUACUUGCCGAGUUAACGGCUCACCCCUUAUUUGUAAUAUUUUGCAGAUUAAUUUUAGAGAUGUGGGCCUUUUGGUUUAGAGAAAAUGAUUUGUUAGUUGAACACUUUAGUCAUUUUCGUGAUGAAUAAAGUAUCAUUACUUUAGUUUUUACUUAGAGAUGAAUUUGGUAUUGAAGGAUAAUUGUUAUAUUUAUUGUUUUAGAGAUUAUGUUUCGGCUAUGGACAUUAUUGGAUAUUAUUGAUUUUCUUUUGGAAAUAGUAAUAAGAUUUAAUGUUAAGAGGCUUCAUUCCAAAUUCCUAUUCCAAUUCUUGGGUGAAUUUAGAGUGUCACACAAAAUGUCAUAGAGCCAAAGUUAUUUGAGCAAGAAAUGAGCUACAUGAUAUAAGUAAGAUAUCAUGAGACUUGUUAGAAAAUCGAUGGGUGAAGCAGGGCCACAACUAAAAUGAAAUUAGAAGAAAAAUGAAAAUAAGCACACAUAGAGGACACCAAAAAUUAUGUGAUUCGACUAUUAGUUUACGUCCACGAGUGAAGACAGAAGGAAAAUAUUUCACUAGUGAAAUCAAGAUUACGAAUAUUGUAAUAUUUUUGACUCACUACCCAGUAUCCCAAUACACCCAAUCUCUCACUCACUAAUCACUCAACUCUCACUUGACUUUUUCUCUUCUCAAAAUGGAUCUGAAAAAGAAGAGAAGAAUUGGACGUUGAAAUGAGGAGAAGCAUCCUCCUUUUACAGUCAAAAUUUAGCUACUAUGCAUUUUAUUAUUUUAAUUAUUAUUAUUAUUAUUAUUUUCUUUUAAAACUAUCCGGCUCCCUCUUUCUUCUUCAAAUAUAUUAGCUUCAUUUUUUUCUUUUUCUUUUUUCAAAAGAAGCUGUUGCCAAACCAUUUUCCCUUCAAAUAUUUACAGCUUCUAGAUUGGUGGGCUUCUAGAAUUUAGCACGCCAACUUUGACAUUCUCCUACUUGGAGAUUUGAUUGAGAACCAAUCAAUCUCCACACCAUCCUUUAUACUUCGAUGUUGUCACAUUACUUGCGUUUUUGCUAGGCCACAUGAGGAUCUACUCCAUACAAACUUGUCAGCAUUGAUUGGCUUGGUCAUAACAUCUGCUAGGUUCUCUUUUGUAUAGAUUUUCUGUAAAUCCACACUUUCAUCUUCCAUUACUUCUCGAACAAAGUAAUAUUAUACUUUUAUGUGCUUUGUUAUGGAAUGAAAUGUUGGAUUCCUUGCAAUGUGCAAGACACUCUCAUUGUCACAAAACACACGAAUUUUCUCUUGUUUGUGCCCGAGCUCCUCCAAUAACCUUUGCAUCCAAAUAGCUUCCUUGCAAGCUUGUGUAGCUGCCAUAUUUUACUUCUGUUGUAGAUAAGAUCACAACGGUCUGCGGUUUCAAAAUUCAACUUAUAGCUGCUCCCACAAGUGUAAACACAUAGCCAGUAGUAUAUUUUCUUUUAUCAAGGUCUCUUGAAAAAUAUGAAUCCACAUAACCUCUAACAGUAAACUCUGAUCUUCCAUAACAUAAUAUAACAUCUGAUUCACCAUGUAUCGACUGACUGCUCCCACUGCUUGUGCAAUGUCCGAUCUUGUACAAAUCAUAGUGAACAUUAAACUUCCCACUGCUAAUGCAUACGGUACUCGAGACAUAUCAUUCAUCUUUGCUUCAUUGCUAGGACACAUACUUGAGGAUAACUUGAAAUUAAUAGGAAGUAGAGUAGAAAUUGACUUACAAUCUUGCAUAUUGAAGUGCUUUAAGAUUUUUUUUCAAGUAAUUCUUAUGAGAAAGUCAAAUCUUCAUGUUAUUUCUGUCCUGGUGAAUUUACAUCCCUAGAAUCUUGUUUGCUGGUCCCAAAUCCUUCAUUUUAAACUUCCUAGCUAACUGUGUCUUUAAUUCUUUAACGGCUUGUUACCAAUAUGUUAACCACAUACAAAAGCAAAAUGAUGAAAUCAUUAUCCUUAAACCUCAUAUAAUAUGCACAAUAGUCUGAACUAAAUCUAUUUAUCCAAGGCUCAUGAUGAAGGAAUCAAAUCUCUUAUACCAAUACCUUGGCACCUGUUUGAGAUCGUAUAAAGAUUUGUUCAACUUGCGAACCAAGUUCUCUUUGCCUACUUAAGUAAAACCUUCUGGUUAGAGCAUAUAAAUCUCUUCUUCAAGUUUUUUUUAUGAAGAAAUGUAGUUUUCACAUCUAAUUACUCUAAAUGUAGGUCAAAUAUAACACACAUUGCCAAGACUACUUUGACUGUCGUAAGUCGAACUACCAGAAAAAAUAUCUCAUUGAAGUCAAUACCUUCUUUCUGAGCAUAUCCUUUUACCACCAAUCUUACACGAUACCGCUCUACUUGGUCAUUGCUAUCACGCUUGAUCUUAUAGGCUCAUUUAUUUCCCAUGACUUUUCUUUCGCGCGGUAGUAGUACAAGUUCCUAUGUCUUAUUUUUGUGUAGAUCUUUAAUUUCUUUCUAUAUUGCUGUCAUCGACAAAGGAACAUCUGGACUGUUUAAAGCUUCAUGAAAAGUUAAUGGCUUUCCAUCCUCUGUUAGAAGACAGUAUACAAUAUUGAUCUCUGUAACAUAUUCCAAGUGCCACACUGGCGAUCAUCUCUCACGAGUUGACUGACAAACUUUUAGAGCCUCGAACUCGACUAGUUCCUAUUCCUCGUGCUCUGAUGUUGCUUCAAAAGAAUCUGAAUCUUCUAUUCCUAAAUUACUUUUCACAUAUACUAAUACACCCUCUGACUUUUUUUUACAAUGCUAUCGUCCCCAUCUUUUCGAUGCAAUUGAUCUUUUAUAAAGAUAACAUCUCUACCAAUGAUAAUCUUGUGGCAGUAUGAUCCUACAGAUGAUACCCCUCCACUCCAUCAGCAUACCUCAAUAAGACACAUCUUUUAGAUUUUAGAUCCAGCUUUUCUUCUUUCUUGGGUAUUAUACAUUACAUACACAGGACAUUCAAAUGCAUGUAAAUGAGAGUAAUCAACUGAAUUUCCUGUCCACAUCUCCAUCGGUAUUUUUAAGUCAAAUGCUAUUGAUAGAGAUCGAUUAACCAUGUAAUAGACAAUUUUGGCUACUUCUACCUAGAAUGAGUUGAGUACACCAGCAGUUCUCAACAUAACUCUUAUUUUUUCUGUAAGAGUCUUGUUUAUCCGCUCUGUCAUUCCAUUUUGUUGAAGAAUGUAUGCCACUGUGAAUUGUCUUUAGAUACCUUCUUGCUUACAGUAUGCAAGAAACUCGCCAUCUGUAUACUUUCCACCGUUAUCUGUCCUCAAGUACUUUAUCUUUUUCCCGUAUUCAAGUUCAACCCGCACUUUGAAUUCUUUGAACACUGAAAAACACAUCUUACUUUUUAUUGAUUGGAUACACUUAACAUCUUCUAGAAUAAUCAUCAAUAAAAGUCACCAAGUACUUUGUACCUCCCAUUGAUAUGUCUGGUAAUUCCCAAACAUCAAAAUAGACUAAGUCUAUAAUGCAUUUACUUUUGGCAAUAUAUCUGCCGAACUUCAAUCUAUAUUGCUCACUUACAACACAAUACUCACAAAAUGAUAAAUUGAAUGAUUUGAGCCCCGAAAGCAACUUUCGUUCAGAGAGAAUCUCUAAACCUUGUUCUGACAUGUGGCCAAGUUUAAGGUGCACAUCAUCGCUGAUUCUUCUUCAUUUGAUGGACACACACAUUAACUUCCUGGAGUAUUUCUCAUUUGAGCAUGAAUAGAUUAACACCAGUCUUUUCCUCUUUCAUCAAAAUAAGUGAGCCUUUGGCAAUCUUCAUAAUCUCAUUUUCAACAUGGGUUUUACACGCAAAACUAUCUAUUUGUCCCAACGAUAAUAGAUUUUUCUUCAGACUGCUGACAUACUGUACCUCUUCAAUUGUAUGAAUUGUACCAUUAAAUAUUUUUAUUUUGACAGUACCAAUACCAGCUAUCUCCAAAACAUGAUCAUCACUCAUGUAUACAGAUCCUUCUUAGAUAGGUUUAUAUGUGUGGAACCAUUUUCUCCGAGAGGUCAUGUGCCAGGUAGCUCAUGAGUCUAUAAGCCAAACUUCAUAUAGUCGUUUUCUGCCUUCUAGAGCGGUUGUUGCUGUAGAGAAUUUUGCAAUCAUCGGAGAUACUUGCCACACACCCCUGAGCAUUUGAUGACUCAGGAUCUUUACUCUUUCUUCUUUUCUGGUUGUUCCAAAACUCUUUUUUUAUAUGCCCUUUUUUGCCAUAAUUAUAGCAUUUGAUAUUCUUCUGACUUAUUGACUUUAAUCUACCAUGAUUGUGACUCCCACGGGGCCACAUUCUAUUGAUCUCCCUUUCGUCAUCGAUAAUGCUUCUGCUUAUUGUGAACUUACUUACCGGUCUUAUUUAUUUUUUCACCUGCUCUUCUUAUUUAAUACUGAGGCUGCAACAUCGUUGAAGACUAGGCUUGGAUUUGUUCUUCAGAUUGAUGAUGAGUGGAUCAUUCGAAUAUAGUAGACUCUAAAGUAGAAGCUCUGCACGUUCAUUUUCCUCUAUUUUAUGACCUAGCGUUGUGAGUUGUGGAAAAAAGAGUCUUUAAGAUGUUGAUAUUGUCAGUCACUGAUGUAGAUUUUGCCAUUCAAAGAAUAUAAAGUCUUCUCUUCAAGAAGAUCUUGUUGUGUAGCGACUUGGCCUUAUACAGUGUAACGCCCAAUUUUAUUUAUUUAUUUAUCCUCUUUUGCCCUUAUUAAAUUGAGUAGGAUAGUUAUUUUUGAGUGUUUGUGUGUGAGUAAAAUUUAUCGGAUUGUUUUAAAUAAGUUACGUAAAUUAUUAGUUUUUUAAAAAAUAUUUAUUAAUUACCAAGUAUUUAAGAGAAAACCAUCUUUUUAAGAAGCUGUUUUUUAUUUUUACACCGUUACAAACCCUAGAAAGAAAAGAAGGAAAUAUAAGUCUUUGGAGAAGGAAAAGAAAGUUUUAUCACUUCUUUUCUUAGUGUUUGCCUUAAGGUAUUAAGUAUUUUUUCGACUUAUAUGAUUUAUUUUUAUGGAAUUGUUUGCCUUUAAUUACUUGUAGUAUGAUUUGGGUAAUAUAUGUGUGUUUGUAAUGUUGUGAUGAUAUGAACAGUCUCUAUUCCUUGCUUGAAAUCGUUUUCUUUAUUUAGAAUCACGUGAAUAUCUUACAUAUCAUGGAACUAGACAUCCUAGGCUUUCCAUUGAUAGGUUUUGUGUUGAAAUCGUCUGAGUAUGCAAAUUGUUAUGGGUUUUCGAAGUUGGGUUACUGGUGCUGGAAAAUUCCGAUUUUCAGCAGCGGUUCUCAACUCUGGAAAAUUUUCUAUAAGGUUACACAUCCUUUAAAAUUAUGCCGAUUUUUGUGCCAACAGAUCUAUGUCUCCUAUGCUUGCAUGUUUAAUUUCGUAGUUUUAUUCUUUCUGAUUAAAUUAUUAAAAAUCGUAACAUGCGGCUGCUGCAGAUCUGGAAACUGUUUUCCAGAAAUUAUAGAAGCUGAAACGUGUAACCGUUUGGGCUAAUUUAUGGAUAUUACAUGAUGUUAGGGUUUUAUAAUGAAAUUUCAAUCUUUCCUCUGUCUUUAAAAACUGGAAUCGCGAUUUUUGGGCAUGUAAAAUAAAAGAUACGAAUUUUUGAAAUUCUGUUUUCAAAUCUGGAAUUUUCUGGACGGGUUAAAUGUUCUCGGAAAUAAAACGUUUUAAAAUAGUUUCAGGAGUCCAAAAAUUAUGAAUUUUUAAUUAUAUGCUUUUUGAAUGUGUCUUCUGUAAUUAGAAAAAAGAAGCAUAUUAUUUCGAGUACCAAAGAAUAUUUUAUGAAUUUUCUAAGUGGAAAAGGUCUGUUUUGGUCAGUGCUGGACAGUUUUUGUUACUUUGGUGAAAAGUCAAAAUUCUGACUCGAUUUGGACUUGUGCUGAUUUUUUGUGAAAUGUUUUAUGCAAUGCUAUGCAUGUUCAUAGUGCCUCUGUAAAUUUUCAUGGUUUUCCGACAUGUGUAUAGGUUAUUAAAAAUCAGCAUGUGCAGGAUACUCAUAAGUAUAGGAUAUGUUUAGAAUAUAUAUAAGUAUUAAGGUAGUAUUAGUGUCUAUGAUUUAAGGAUGAUUGAGAUUAUGUUUAAGAUUAGAGAUGAUAUUGAUAAGAAUAUUUUUAUGAUGAUUAUAGGACGAGGGUGAGCUCGUUAGUUGUUCUUGAGGUAUUGAAUUGAUUGCUACGGAUCGAGGUAAGUAGAUUCAUGCAUGAUAUGCUCUAUAAUAAAUGCAAUUUAUGUUACAAAAAUUAUGUUUAAAUGGAAAUUUUUACAAAAACUGAUUUCUAAAAUAUUUAAAUGAAUUUUGUAAAAUAAAAACGCUUCUAAAUGAAUUUAUAUAAAUGUAUUUUAAAAUGAAUUUUUCUUAAGAAAUUAGUUUUCUUAAACUAAAUGUUUUCUUAAAGAACUUAUGAAAAAAUGUAAGGUGGAUUCAAAAUGUUUUGGCUCAUAGUCCGUAGUAAUGUAUAUGAUGUUAAUGUUAUGAUGUUAUGAAAUGUUAUGGCCAGCUUGCUGGUAUGAUGAUGAUCUUGUGCACAAGGAUGUUACGAACAAUGUGGGGUAUAGUACCCUAAAUGAGGAACAAUGCAGGGUAUAACACCCUAAAUGAUGAAUGAUGAAUGAUGAAUGAUGAUGACUACGAGGCAUGAGCUACCAAUGUUUACGCUUUAAUGUUUUUAUAAAUGUUUUAAUGUUUUUAUAUGAAUCCACCCCUUAUGCUAAAUGAAGAUGUUGUUAUAAAAUGUUUAACGAUACAUGACAAAAGUUUUCAAAUAUUGUGCAUGGAUUUGCUUACCGAGUUUACGGCUCACCCCUCGUCUCUAAUAUUUUGCAGAUUGAUUAGAAAUGUGGCGUGGGUGCUUAGAUGGAGAAUUUUUCUUAGUGGAUCUUUGGAGUUGCUUUAAAGAUUAAAUUUGGCUAGACUUUUUAUUUUGGAUUAGAGACUUUACUUUGGAGGCUUUAUUUCAUAUGUUUUAUGUAAGGAUUCAGUUGGAGUAUGAAUAAUGAUUGUUUAUCUUGAGAUUUAUUAAUAAGAAUGAAUGAUGUGAGGUUUCAUUCCAAUUUUACCCUUGUGUUUUCAUGGGUAAUUUUUGGGGUGUUACAUACAGUCUUAUGAGAGUAUCCCAAAUUUCAUUUGCUGACUUUUUCUCUGCCACACUUGAUAACACCUCAUCCACAAGUGCCAAGUAUAGAUCAACAAUAGCAUUGUCGUCCAUCUAAUUCUACUUGUUAUCAUUAGUUAUCUCCGUGGGUCUUUCUCCAAUUGCUACCAAGCAAUUAUUUUUCCUCAAAAUAGUUUUCAUCUUUAUUUUCCACAACGAGAAAUUAUUCCCGUUAAACUUCUCAAUUUUGUAUUUUACCGCUAUCACUUUUCACCACGAUCUACCUUUGAUAGAAUCGGCUCCUACCGUUUUGCAUGAACAGUAACCGUAUACGUGAACAAUGUCAUAUAUGUGAACAUUAUACUCAACUUCAGAAAUGCAACCAGCAACUCUGAUACCACUGUUAGAAAAUCGAUAGGUGAAGCAGGGCCACAACUAAAAUGAAAUUGGAAGAAAAAUAAAAAUAAGCAUAGACAGAAGAUACCGAAAAUUACGUGGUUCGGCUAUUAGCCUACAUCCACGGGCGAAGAUAAAAGGAAAAUAUUUCACUAAUGAAAUGAGGAUUAAAAAUAUUGUAAUAUUUUUUACUCACUACCCAAUACCCCAAUACACACAAUCUCUUACUCACUAAUCACUCAACUUUCACUUGGUUUUUUUCUCCUCUCAAAAUAGAUCUGAAAAAGAAGAGAAGAAUUGGACACAUAAAUGAGGAGGAGCAUCCUCUUUUUAUAGCCAAAAUUUGGCUACUGCACUCUAUUAUUUUAUUUUUUUUUCUUUUCAAAUUAUGUUGCCCUUUCUUUCUUCUUCAAAUAUUUCAAUUUUAUUUUUCUUCUUCUCAUUCUUUUUUAAAAGAAGUUGUUGCCAAACCAUUUUUCCUUCAAACAUUUACAACUUCUACAUUGGUGGGCUUCUAGAAUUUGGCACGCCAACUUUGACAAAUCCAAAGAAAGCGCGGUUGGGUGAAUUUGGAUUGUCCCACAAAAUGUCAUAGACUCAAAGUUAUUUGAGCAAUAAAGGAGCUCCAUGAUAUAAGUAAGAUAUCAUGAAGUCAAAGAAAGCCCAGUUGCAGAAGAAAAAUGCAGGACACAUUAUCUAAACCCAAAAGAAAAAUUUAAAAUUUUCAAAAACUCAAUUUGAGAAGGAAAUAAAUAUAGACUUCAGAUAAAACUCUAAUUAAGAGGUAACAAUAUAUUAGAAUAAGGAGUUUUCAAGGAUUUAGGAUACCUAAAUUAUAUUAUAAAUAAGAAGCUUUUAAUGCAUAGAGAGCAAAAGGCAAAUAACUAAAAAAAAAAAAAAAACUUUGUUGUAAUUUUUAUACAAUAACGAAAGUUGCUCUUUCUAUUUCCGUAGACAUAAGUGGUGUGCACAAUCUUUAAUGGUAUGGGUAUCAAUGUGCAAGUAUACACUAAGUAAUAUACUAAUGAGUAUUCAAAUCAUUUCCACAUAAAUUGAUGUUAUCAGACUUGUUACAGUAAUCUUAACAGUGCAAUUUUGUUCUAAAUUAAAAUAAGACAAUUUAUGAAACUAAUAAACUAAUUAAAAUGUAAUAAAGAAAAUUAUCACGUCAAACACAAAGAUAUAACCAAUGGGAAUAGAGUAGUUGAGUGAAUAAACUCACUUAAUGACAUUGACUAUUUUUUCAAUUACAGUACCGUUGAUACAACAUCUACUACAGCACUGGGCAGAAUCUCUCAUGCAUCAUUAGCUGUCGUCUGUUGGAUAUCUUAUAUCUAAUGCAACUUAACAGUGACCAAUUGUUAUACCAAUAUUAAAUAUAACAUUAAACGAUCUAGACUCCAUUUAGUCUACAAGGUAAAUCUCUAUGUCUAGUUUAUCAUUAAUUUUAGAUCAAGCACGACCCUAUUCAAAUCAAGAUUUACUCAACUUGGUAAAUACAAUCUAAAACCAAGUAUUGUCUUAAUGAGAUCCACUAGUUAGACAUUGUUUUGUCUCUUUCUUAACUAGUGUCCACUAAAUGGAUGGUCAGCCGAAAUAAAAAAUUAAAAUAAAUACAAUUAACACAAAAUGUUAUAGCAUACACAAAGUAACAUGUGUAUACAAGUCAAAUAUCCAUUAAGAUCGUUUAUUACUCACCUACAACCAAAUUCAGUUCAUAAUUUGUAAUAAAACAAUGAAGAAAAUAGUUUCAACCAUCAAAUACAUCCCGAUAGAUAAAAAAAAAAAGAUAAUAAAAAGAACUGAUUUCCAUUGAUCUCUGCAAUUUCUCCUAUGUCAGCCUUCAAUCUAUCUCUUGAUUUUUGUUUUUCUUUUGUUUUCUUUGCGGUUUUUCCCUUAGGUGAUGACUCUUUCUUUUCCUUUGCAAGCGUGCUUCUUUUAUAGCUGAGAAUUAGGGAAACCUGAAGUGUAGGGCUUCCAUUUUUUGGAAACUUCAAAUUGCAAUCUUUUAGUUGAUAUGCGCGAAAUCUUCUCUGUCAUUGCUCCAAGAUUGCUACAGUAACAAUGCUACAGCAACGGCUACCGCAUCUUACUUGAAAUUUAAGCUUCUGGUCACCUACAAUUAUGCAUAUUAUUUAAGCACAAAUUAUUUUAAAACAAACUAAAUUUAUUUAAAAUAAACUAAAAUGGAUGCUUAUGCAAAAUAUAACUAAAAUACAAUAAAAACAUAUCAUUUACUCUCUAAGUAUUAUUGAUUUAAGUAUAAAAGUGUCAUGAUAACUCGCAUUUUAUAGAAUUAUCAGUAAGCCAAGCAUUGAACUAAAUAAAUUGUCUGUGUUUUAUUUUUUAUAUCGUCCCACUUAUUUAAUUUUCUAAUCGAUCAAAAUCAAUGUCGACACUUAUAAAAUAAUCUAAGAUGUACAAUUAUCGGUUAAAUAAACCCUGACGGUGCAGGUUCUAAAAGUUUUUCUUAUUGUGAUUAUUUUGUCUCUCUCCACUUCACUAUUUAUUGUGGAACUAUUUAUCUUUAUUGUACAAAAAUUUAAUUAAUAUUGCAUUGCAGAACUCUUGUUCUGUUCAUGCAACAUACAAACCGAAGUUCUGAUCUUCCACCUCUUAUACACAAAUAGGACCAUGGCUAUAAACAGCCAACCUCACCUUGUAUGUAAUAAGUAUACACACACAUUUAUUUAGUUCUUAUACUUUUCUCAUUUUGAUAUUAUUAAAAUACUCCCACAUAAAUCCAUUACAUUUCUUUCUUUUCUCACUUUUUCUUGUUUAUACCUUGUCAUUCACAAUACAUUUGAGGAAUUUUAACACUCAUGUCUACCUAGCUACCUCAAAACCAAAGCACAGAAAAUAGUUAAUAAUUGAGAACUUUUCUGUCAGAUAUUUAUGAAAGUUAAUAAUUGAGAGCUUUUCUUUUCAGCGAAAUCAACGGAGGCUAAAGACCAAGAACAAAAGCAAGAAAAUGACAGCAAUUGACAGAAGAAAAACAAAGAGAGCAAUUGUGACAAAGUAAAACAAAUAAGAAAAGAAAAACAAAUCACCGAAAGCCAGCGCAAAAGGGUUGUCACCAAAGUCAUCAAAAGCAUGCUGUAACAGUCGAGUUAUUAUUACUUAUUAGCUUUCUUUACUUUUUGGAAAGUGACCUUAGCAAGAACGUUUGCAUCCUAAAGAGAGUAGAUAAUCCGCAUAGGCGAAUAAGAUUGCCAAGAAGUUGCUGUGUUAGAGGUUCGCUAGACUUAUUUCUUUUCUUCAGCAGCAUCCACAUAAGUGAAUUUUACUACCAAGUAGUCGCUGUGUUACAGGUUCGCUAAAGACUUAUUUUUUUCCUUCAGCAGCAUCGACCAUGGCAACGGCAGCAACAAGAUCAACAUCAAACACGGAAACGAAGAUGAAAUUGAAGUUAAUGAUUGACAAACCAGCUAACAAGGUCCUGUUUGCCGAAGCCGAAAAAGAUUUUGUGGAUCUCCUAUUCAAUCUCCUUUAUAUGCCAUUUGGUAGUGUAAUCAGGCUCCUCAGGAAUGCUGGCAUGGUUGGCUGCACAGGAAACCCUUGCCAGAGUCUUGAAAACCUGCGUGAAGCUCUCUUGAUACCCAAUCAGAACAAAGUUGAGCUCUUAAAGCCGCUUCUAAAAUGGGAAAAAGAAUCUGCGCUCUUGCAGCCCCAAGCUUGCCCGCAACCUAUGGAGAGAAAGUUUUACGCUUGCCAAAACCGUCAUCAUUGUGUGACAAAUCAAAUAGACACCCCGUGUCCCCAUUGUUGUGGUUAUUCUCUGCGUUCUGAGUUGCGGCAGGUGAACAUGGUUCUGGAGGGCGGAAUAGUAAAGAAAUCAGUCGCUUUCACGGUAUCAGAUGAUUUAUCAGUGAUACCAGGGUCAAUGAUAUCAGGCAUUGGCCUGCUACAAGGCAAACUUAAGGAUGCUAUUGGCGCCCUUGAGGAGAGAGUUGUGGAUAUUGGCCCUGAUGAGGUAAGGAGUUCUUGAGUUAGAAUCUUUAUCUUGUUCGAAUUUUGAGUUCAAUAACAGAAAAUUUUAAUUUGAAAGCAUAAUUAAGCUACCAUGUUGCUCUUUUCUCCCAACCACUGAUAUUGGUUUUGGGCUAAAGCAUAUGGUUUUUGUAACUCUCAGGUUUUGGAGCUGUUGAAAGCUUCAUUGCAGACAAAUGAAGCUCUCUCUACCGUCUUCCUUCCUCGUGAAGAAAGAGUUAUUGGGAUGAAUGAUUAGUGUUAAAAAUUGUAUGUUUAUUAAGGGAUAAAAAUGUUAUUUUGUGCUAUUAAUGUAAUUUAUAUUUGUAAUUGUCUAACAUAUUGUGAAUUUCUAAUUAUUUUCUAAAUAUUUGAUUUUGUGUGUUUAUGAGGUAAAAAUAAUAAUUUUAUGUAAUUUGAGGCUCCAAACAAAUGUAUGGAUGUCAAAUUUGGAUUCCGGAAGUUCGAGAAAUUAUGUCAUUGUCGAGGAGCCGUGACUUUUGUUGUAAAAACGGUAAAUGUGGUAAUUGCAAAAUUAUAAAUUUUUAUCAUGUUAGGUAUGGUAAUUUUUAGUGGAAUGUGUUGGAUAUGCUUGAGUGGAUAAGUUAGGUUUAUGUUUUAUUAGUGGGAUUAUUAGUGGGACAAAUGUAAGGUUAAGAUGUAAUUAGAUUUUUUUUUAUUUGUGUGGUGUGGAUUUAUCAUGUAUUAGUAUAAAUAGAGAGGGUGAACACACCUCUACAUACCCUCUCUUCUCUUCUUUCCCCCAAAAUCUUCUUCUUAUCUCUUUUUAUAAUAUAUUUUCAAUCAAUAAAAUUAGUUUUGUUUUAAUUUUUAAAUUCCUUUUUUAAUUAUGUGUUUUUCAAUUGUAAUAAUUUUCUUUAUUUCAAAAAUGUUUAACUAAAUAUUCAUAGUUAGGGGAAGGUGAAAUUCUUAGUAAAAAAAUAUGGUUUAAUCAAAUUUUAUUUUUUAUUUUAUAAAUUAAAUUGUUUUCUAUUUAAUUUUAUCCAUAUUUUAUAUUUUGAAAUUUUGAUUUAGUGUAGAUAAAAAUAGGAAUUUGGCACAAUAAAUUCUUAAUAUCUUAGUAUAAAAUAUGGAAAAAUGGUAUUUUGAUUUAGUGUAGACAAAUUAAGUUUUGGCACAUUAAAUUCUUAAUCCACAAUAAAAUAAAUGAGAAAAUAAUUUUAAUUUAUACAAUUAAUCUUUUGGGAAAUAAAAAUAAAAAUAAAAAGAAUUUAUUAAAUUGUAUUUAUUACUAAGAGUGGAUUCAUAACUCUAACUAAUUUAUUUUAUACUUUUUGUUAAAUAAAUUACAUAUUUAUAAAUUUUAUUUUUAUUUGGAUAAACUUAAGUAAACAAAUUAAAUCUUUUCUCUGCGGAUCAACCUCGGACUCACCGAAAUAUAUUAUAACUAGGCACUCUUAUAUUUGUGAGAAAAUUAAACACUUUUAAGUCGUGUCAAUGAAGAUUAGAUGACUCACAAAAAAAUAAAAUGCGCUGAGGGUAUUUUGUUAUGACAUUAAGCUAUAAGUCGAGCUUUAUAUAUCCGUUUGGUUUGUUUAUUACAAACCCAGUAUACAUUCUUGUUUCUGCGUUUUUCUUGAUGUUACAAAACUAUGUGAUGAAUUGAUAAUGUUAAUAUAUUAUGAAUCCACCAAUUUAUGUUAAACAUUAUUGGAACUACUGGAGGCCUUACUGGUGUUGGUAAGAUUAUAUGGCUCCUCUUCUAAGUUACAGUUUCGGAAAAGCAUGAACUCUUUUAGUCUUUGUGUUAUUUGUUUCUCUUUAACAUGAAAUUAUUCUGAUGAUGAAAACAGGAGUCCGAAAUUCGGUGAUUAUCAUGAAUGACAUUAAAAUUGUGUUCUGUUAAAACAAAGUGGAAUCUAAAAGUUUUAUUUGUUUUAGAGAUAAGCUUUAUGACCUAAUUCUUGGUGGUCCUUUUAGCAAAAAGAAUCUGAUGUAGAAGAAAUUAGAAUUUCAUCAUUUUAGGUGUUUUUGAAAUUUUCCAUUUUAAUCUCAUUAUGCAUUUAGGUACUUUAUUUCAAUUUUAAUUGUCGUUUAUACUUUUAUAUCUGAGUUAAUUUAAGGAAAUUGAUCAAAUAUUUAGAGAGGCCUUGUGAUUCUUUUUAUACCGAAGAUAAAAGAAAGACAUAUAUAUCACCGGAAGUCAUAUAUAAAAGAAAGCAAUUCUAACAAAUAAAGCAAAACAAAAAAGAAAAGAAAGAUAUAUAUAUCACCGGAAGUCAGCACAAAAGGAAAGACACAAAAGUCAGCAAAAGCAUGCUAUAACAUUCAAGUUAUUACUAGCUUUCGUUUAAGGUAAAGAUUUGCAUAUCACAUAUUGGUUCAAACUUCAAAGCAUUUCAAUGUUGUUAAAGCAAAGAAAACAUCCCAAAAGCUAAGUGGGAUGCUUCACUCUACAAUUGAUGCUCUCGGAUUCGGAAGAAAACUCGGCAUAUGGAGCAGCCUAUGUAUAGUCUAAGCUUGAGAUCGAGAUUGUGCUCUGCAUUUGAUCAUCACCUUCAUUAGCAAAAUAAUAAUAAAUUUUUGCUACCAAAUUUGUUUUACUUUUGCGAAGUGACUUAUUACCAAGCGCUUUCGUAUCCUAAAGAGAGUAACUAAUCCACUUAAGUGAUAUUUAAUUGCCGAGUGGUUACUGUGCUACAGUUCGCUAAAGAAUUAUUUCUUUUUCUUCCGAAACAUCAACCAUGGCAACAGCAACAACAUCAUCAGAUUCUGAAACCACGAAGGUGAAAUUAAAGUUAAUUAUUGACAAGCGAGAUAACAAGGUCCUGUUUGCCGAAGCUGAAAAAGAUUUUGUGGAUAUUCUGUUCAACCUUCUUUACAUGCCAUUUGGUACUGUCACCAGGCUUCUCAGGGAUGCUCGCAUGGUUGGCUGCACAAGAAACCUGUACCAGAGUCUUGGAAAUUUGAGUGAAGCGCUGUUAUGCCGCUGGUGAACACACCGAACAGCAAGGUUUCCACACUUUUCAAGCAAGUGCAAGCUCCCAGAAUUUUAAAGAAACGAGUGAAUGGCAAGAGAGAAUAGAGAGGAAAAUUCAGAGAAGAAGAAGAAACUAAGUCCAGAAUUUUUAUAUCCCAUCAAAUACAACCAUGGAAAUACUUAUAGCAGCAAGAAUAUGCUCACAGCUGUCAAAACUAAAUAACAACCUUUCUCUAUAACAAAAAUUAUUCUCUAAAUAGCUAAGGCCGUUAGAAACCAAGUCCUCUGCUCAUAUAUGCUCAGUGUGUGUAAUCCUUGAACCAUUUGGGAGGCUUCCUUACGCGACUUGGCUUGAUGUUAUCUUGGGGUCGGUUUUGGAUAGCCUCACUUGAGUUUGCCUGGGCCUUUUCCUCGCUAUUGAUAGAGCUAGCUGAGUUGGGCUUGUCUAACUGUAAUAUUGGGGUUGUAUCAUUUUCUUUCUGGGAACAUGAAGUAUUGGAAGUUGGCUUAAUCUGGUAAAUGUAUUUGUUGUUGUUACUAGUUAGUUUUAGUUGGUGUUUGUUCAGAAAUGAAAGUGAAAGGAAAUGGUAGAUUAGUCCUGCUCAAUAAUGCUAGUGUGUUUACUUGAUGAUGGCUAAUGUAGCCGGAUUCUAUUUGCCGCUAUGUUUAGUUUUUCUUGACUUUUGAUGAUUGUAUUUUUGUUGAAAUAUUGUGUGAUUUUGAAAAAAAAAAUGUUUUCUUGUUACAACGGAUUUAAUUUAGUCAAUCUGGAUUUUGGUUAACAUCUUCUUUUGUUCCAUAGGUUCUGAAGAGGGACAUCCCAUGGGAGACCUACAUGACAACGAAGCUGAUUUCAGGAACAGGGCUUCAGCUGUUAAGACGAUAUGAUAACAGAUCAGAAAGUCACCGGGCUCAAUUGCUGGAUGAUGUAAUGUUGCAUGGCUCUUAAUCAGGAGGGCAUCACGUUCCAGCAGCAAUUCAUCAAGUGCUUGGAUUAAAGUAGAGCUCCCGGUAUAGGAAGGAAUUACAGGUGGCUCACGACCAUACAAGGCCUUAAAAGGAGACAUUUGGAUGCUUGUAUGAAAGCUAGUGUUGUAAGAAAACUCAGCCCAGCCUAAAUAAUCGAACCACGAUGUCGGUUUCGCUUAUGUGAAUACUCGCAAAUACUGCUCGAGUCCUCGAUUAACAACCUCUGACUGGCCAUCCGUUUGAGGAUGAUAUGCUGUACUAUGCUUCAAUGUGGUACCCUUAACUCAAAGAGUUUCUUCCAAAAGCUACUAAGAAAGAUAGAGUCACGAUCUGAAAUUAUUGUACGGGGAAAACCAUGGUGCUUAAGAACCAUAUCAGUGAAUAAAACGGCUGUUUUGCUUGCUGUAAAGUGUGUGGGUAGAGCACCAAAAUGAGCUGAUUUUGUCAAUCGGUCAACAACAACUAAGAUAACAGUGAACCCAUGGGAAAAUGGUAAACCUGUAAUGAAAUCCAUGGUAACUUCCUCCCAAACUAGUGAAGGUAUAGGCAAGGGUUGAAGGAGUCCAGCUGGUGCCUGAGUAGAGUAUUUUGUUUGCUGACACAAUAAACAAGAGGCAACAAAUAACUCCACAUCCUUGCGCAUAUUUGGCCAAUAAAAGAGAGUGGAUAGACGAACUAAUGUCCGCUUGACGCCGGCAUGACCUGCGACUGGUGUGGCAUGAAAUUCUUGUAAUAAAGAAGGCUUCAAAACAGAGUGAGAGCUGAUGAAGAACCUGUUUUUGAACCGUAGGAUUCCAUCCGAGACCGAAUAUGGAUACAUUAAAGAACCAGAGGAAUACUUCUGAUGGAGAGCUAAGAGAUCCGGUAAGGACUGAUUUUCCGCACAAAGAAUAGAGAGGAAUUCAGGAAUAGGACAGCUAGUGAGUAACAGAGUAGCAGUAGAAUGGCCAUAUACUUUAGGGACAUCAACUUCAUGUACCCUGGAUAAGGCAUCAGCUGCACUAUUAGUUCGACCCGGCUUAUAUUCAAAGCCUUUUGCUGCAUUCUAUGUUGAGCUGCUCGCAAGUUGGUUUUCAAGGCUGUUAGAAGGGCAUCACGUUCCAGCAGCAAUUCAUCAAGUGCUUGGAUUGAAGUAGAGCUCCCGGUAUCGGAAGGGAUUACAGGUGGCUCACGACCAUACAAGGCCUUAAAAGGAGACAUUUGGAUGCUUGUAUGAAAGCUAGUGUUGUAAGAAAACUCAGCCCAGCCUAAAUAAUCGAACCACGAUGUCGGUUUCGCUUAUGUGAAUACUCGCAAAUACUGCUCGAGUCCUCGAUUAACAACCUCUGACUGGCCAUCCGUUUGAGGAUGAUAUGCUGUACUAUGCUUCAAUGUGGUACCCUUAACUCAAAGAGUUUCUUCCAAAAGCUACUAAGAAAGAUAGAGUCACGAUCUGAAAUUAUUGUACGAGGAAAACUAUGGUGCUUAACAACCAUAUCAGUGAAUAAAACGGCUGUUUUGCUUGCUGUAAAGUGUGUGGGUAGAGCACCAAAAUGAGCUGAUUUUGUCAAUCGGUCAACAACGACUAAGAUAACAGUGAACCCAUGGGAAGAUGGUAAACCUGUAAUGAAGUCCAUGGUAACUUCCUCCCAAACUAGUGAAGGUAUAGGCAAGGGUUGAAGGAGUCCAGCUGGUGCCUGAGUAGAGUAUUUUGUUUGCUGACACAAUAAACAAGAGGCAACAAAUAACUCCACAUCCUUGCGCAUAUUUGGCCAAUAAAAGAGAGUGGAUAGACGAACUAAUGUCCGCUUGACUCCGGCAUGACCUGCGACUGGUGUGGCAUGAAAUUCUUGUAAUAAAGAAGGCUUCAAAACAGAGUGAGAGCUGAUGAAGAACCUGUUUUUGAACCGUAGGAUUCCAUCCGAGACCGAAUAUGGAUACAUUACAGAACCAGAGGAAUACUUCUGAUGGAGAGCUAAGAGAUCCGGUAAGGACUGAUUUUCCGCACGAAGAAUAAAGAGGAAUUCAGGAAUAGGGCAGCUAGCAAGUAACAUAGUAGCAGGAUAAUGGUCAUAUAAUUCAGGGACAUCAACUUCAUGUACUCUGGAUAAGGCAUCAGCUGCACUAUUAGUUCGACCUGGCUUAUAUUCAACCCUGAAAUGAUACCCCAGUAAUUUACGAACAUAAAAUUGUUGCUCUGGAGUUUGGAUAACCUGCUGAAGGAGCUCUCGAAUACUUUUCUGGUCAGUUCGGAUAAUAAAGAAAUGGCCUAACAAGUAUUGUCUCCACUUAUGUACUGCUUCGGCAAUGGCAUGAAGUUCUUUGAUAUAAGUAGAAGCGACAAGCAUGCGAGGACCCAAUUUUCGGCUAAAAUAAGCAAUAGGAUGAUCAGCUUGCAUCAGUACGGCUCCAAUACCAACAUUCGAGGCAUCCGUCUCAAUAACAAAAUCCAAUUGAAAAUCUGGCAAGCGAAGGACUGGUGCUGCACUCAUGGCUUGUUUUAAGGCAGCAAAGGCCGUGUCAGCUGCGGAGGACCAAUGGAAACAAUCCUUCCGCAAUAAAUCUGUGAGAAGGGCAGCAAUGGAAGCAUAUCCUUUAAUAAAGCGACGAUAAUAGCCUGUGAGACCCAAGAAUCCUCGCAAUUGUUUUGUGGUAGACGGCGUAGGCCAAUUAGACAUGACCACCAACUUGCGAGGAUCGGCCUUAACUCCAGAAGAGGAAACAAUAUGGCCGAGAUAUUCAAUGUUAUCCUGGCAAAAAAAACACUUUGAGAGCUUCACAAAAAAAUGAUUAGUAUGAAGACAAUCAAAUACUCUAUGUAAAUGCUCAAAAUGGUCUUCUAGAGAAGUGUUGUACACUAAGAUAUCGUCAAAGAAAACGAUCACAAACUUACGAAGAUAAGGAGCAAAGAGCCUAUUCAUUGUCGCUUGAAAUGUGGAAGGGGCAUUAGAGAGUCCAAAAGGCAUAACAAGGAACUCAAAAUGCCCAUCAUGAGUCCGAAAGGCUGUUUUAUAAAUAUCUCUGUCACAUACUCGUAUUUGAUGGUACCCCGCUCGCAAAUCCAGCUUACUGAAAAUACAAGCACCACCAAGCUCGUCUAAUAACUCAUCAAUAGUUGGUAUUGGAAAUUUGUCUUUAAUUGUUACUGCGUUCAAGGCUCGGUAAUCUACACAAAAACGAUAUGAGCCAUCUUUCUUUUUAACCAGCAACACAGGUGAAGAGAAUGGGCUAUGACUUGGGCGAAUAAUGCCUUGAUCAAGCAUUUCUUUAAUAAGUCUCUCCAUUUCGGCCUUUUGGAAGUGAGGAUAACGGUAUGGGCGAACAUUGACAGGUUUAGUAUUUGGGAGAAGAUGAAUGUGAUGGUCAAUAAGUCUAUGAGGAGGUAGAGAAGAUGGAGUGUGAAAUAAUUGCUCAUAUUGAUGAAGAAGGGCAAGUACAGGGGAAGGCAAAUCGGGUGGGAAGUCAAACUUAGCAGCAGUGGUUGGAACAGAGAAGGUAUCCUGCGCGUCUGUAGUAGUAUGCAACUGGAAAAAUUCAAAGAGACCGUGGAUUUGAUCAUGGGACAUGAGGGCUUGUAAUUGAUGAAAAGAAAUCGAUCUUGGAGACAAGGAGAGAUCACCUCGCAGGAAGACAGGAGAGCCAUUAUAGAAAAAUUCCAUUGACAAUGCCGCAUAGUCAUGAGAGACUUUGCCAAGUAGCUGUAACCAUUGAAUUCCGAGGACAAUAUCCGGUCCCUCAAUAGGAAGAACAUAAAGGUCGAUGUAGAAAACAUGGCCUUGCAUAGAUAAGGCGACUUGGGAACAAACAUAUCGACAAACUAAAGAAUCACCAUUACCGAUAUAUACCCGGAAUGUGGUAGUGUCUUGUACUGCUAACCCCAAAACUUCAGCCACAGCGGGUUUAAUAAAAUUAUGAGUGCUACCACUAUCGAUAAGUACUUGCACGGGCUGUUGAUUAAUUUCACCAAGGAGUCGUAGAGAGCGAGGAGUAUUUUGGCCCGCUAAGGCAUUUAAACUAGAGAUAUCACCAACUAUAAUAGUUUCCUCAACAACAUCUGAGAUCUCAGAAUUAAUUGGUGGACCCAUCGCCUCGUCAACAUCCUCUGUUCCUAAUAGAAGCAGAAACUUACUACGGCAUCUAUGAGAGUUGCUCUACUUCUGCUCGCAAUUGUAGCAGAGUCUUUUCUCCCUUUUUUCACGAAGUUCUUAAGGAGAAAGACGCUUAAUAGGGAGAGAUGGCGUUGGUAAAAGUGGAGGUAAAGUGGACGGGGCAGGUUGAGGUGGGUUGAUGGCAGGGGCACUUGCAGGACUGUGAUUGGUUGGAGUAGGGUGAAAGGAUGAUGUGGUGGUUUUGGGGGUCCACUUAGACCAAGGUCUGGACGUAACUUUACUCUCAUCUCCACGUGCUUCAAACAUACGAGCUAGUGCAAAUGCCUCCAUCAACGAGGAAGGCCGUGACAGCAACAGCUCGCGACGAAUAUCCACUCGCAACCCCGUGAUAAAAAAUGAGAUAAGGAGAGGCUCGGAAAUACCUGUGACUUUAUUCAUGAGGUCCUCAAACUCAGUUUGAAAUUCUGCCACACUUGAUUUCUGAGUAAGUUUUGAUAGAUUGCCUUGGUGGUCCUCGUACAGGGAAGCUCCGAAACGAAACUUCAGAUUUUGAAGAAAAUCCUUCCAACUGGUAAGAAGAUCAUUCGCCUUCAUCCAUUGGUACCAAGCCGAAGCGCGACCUUCCAAAUGAAAAGACACGAUGCGGAGACGAAGAGCUUCGGAUGUGCCAUGGAAAUCAAAAUACUCAUUGAUGCGAAAAGCCCAACCGUUUGGGUCAGUUCCAUCAAAUUUUGGGACCUCGAGUUUCAUUGUUCGCAAGAGAGGAUUGGAGUCAUGGGUGCCCGAUGAACCAUCAGAUAUAUGUGGAAACGGGGGUGGAUUCGAAAGUCCAUUUGUUGGACCGGAAGGUAACCCCUUGAUCUGAGAACGCAAGUCCUCCAAGCAAGAAUCCACAGUAAGCAUGUAUUGUUGCAGCGUGUGAUGAACUGCAACCGUUUGGCUAUCAAGUUUUGUUUGUAAAGCUUUAAUGGCAUCUAGAUUCUCCGAAUCAGCCAUGAUGAGCAAAUAGCAAUGAAAGCACCAAUGUUAUGCCGCUGGUGAACACACCGAACAGCAAGGUUUCCACACUUUUCAAGCAAGUGCAAGCUCCCAGAAUUUUAAAGAAACGAGUGAAUGGCAAGAGAGAAUAGAGAGGAAAUUUCAGAGAAGAAGAAGAAACUAAGUCCAAAAUUUUUAUAUCCCAUCAAAUACAACCAUGGAAAUACUUAUAGCAGCAAGAAUAUGCUCACAGCUGUCAAAACUAAAUAACAACCUCUCUCUAUAACAAAAAAUUAUUCUCUAAAUAGCUAAAGCCGUUAGAAACCAAAUCCUCUGCUCAUAUAUGCUCAGUGUGUGUAAUCCUUGAACCAUUUGGGAGGCUUCCUUACGCGACUUGGCUUGAUGUUAUCUUGGGGUCGGUUUUGGAUAGCCUCACUUGAGUUUGCCUGGGCCUUUUCCUCGCUAUUGAUAGAGCUAGCUGAGUUGGGCUUGUCUAACUGUAAUAUUGGGGUUGUAUCAAGCGCUCCUGAUAACCAAUCACAGCAAAGUUGAGCUCUUGAAACCCCUUUUAAAAUGGGAAAAGGCAUCUGUGCUCUUGCAGCCCCAAGCUUGUCCGCCACCUGUACCUGUGGAGAGAAAG
rnacentral:lncRNA from 1 species